UUUUCAAGUGCACCCUUAUGAUACGUACGCACUCCUGGAUGAGUGAUCAUCCAUAACGGUGAUCGACGACGAGCUACGGAAAGACCUUGGGGCUGAAGGUUUCCUAGCAAGGCACGGCACACUGAACGAGUUGUGCGCGGCAGUUCCUCCUGGUCCACCCGGAACAAACGGUUUCCCAGCAAGGCACGGCCCACCGAACUCGGAAUCGGCCCUCCCCAGGAAGAUCUAGACGACGACGGCGCCCACAACAAACGAGGGCCAGGAGCUUGGCACCGUGUUGCCCCACAUGGAGGAACAGGCCGUGGAACGAAACGCUUUCCACCGACGACAUCGACCGGAUACAUCGACGCAAGAAGAACAAGUUAGAUUUCUAAACCCAUUCUAAAGAGGUCCAGGCCACCGUAGUACCACGAAGGAUUCUGGAAGUAGUGUGGGAACAGCAGAUCCACGGGCGCAAGCCUAUCUCGAGUUUGAGUUGAGUAGAUUUGACAACCUUAGAGGGGUAUUCAGUAUCGCGGAGCACCACAUCGUCAUGCGAGAUGAUAAACCUAUAAAACAGCGGUACUACGGCGGUGCUUCUAUAGUUCUGGGCGCGGGAAUGUCGACUCCAACGCCUGUUAUUCUGCUGGGUGUGCGGGAGAGUAGUUUGGUGGGACUGGACCAACUAGCGAAAUCGCCUUACACCGCACUGUAGUUCUCCACGCGGCCGGUGACCAUUUCAGUAUAUAAAAGGGAUCGACCACUGAGUGGUCCCUUAAGGGUCAAUGAGUGGCUUGUGUAUUUUGUACAAGUGAAAUAGAGUUAUAGGAGA